UACGUAGGUGACCAGCGUUGUCCGGAUUUACUGGGCGUAAAGAGCGCGCAGGCGGUCGUUCAAGUCGAGUGUGAAAGCCCCCGGCUCAACUGGGGAGGGUCACUCGAUACUGAUCGACUUGAAGGCAGGAGAGGGAAGCGGAAUUCCCGGUGUAGUGGUGAAAUGCGUAGAUAUCGGGAGGAACACCAGUGGCGAAGGCGGUUAGCUGGCCUGUAACUGACACUGAGGCGCGAAGGCUAGGGGAGCGAACAGG
rnacentral:rRNA from 1 species